CGGAGCCAGAGGCCACAGCUGUGAUGGACUUCGUUGGUGGGAUGGUUGACCAGACUCUGUGUUUCCUCACCAUCCACUCGGCUGGGCAGCUCAUUCUCAUGCCCUACGGCCACCCGGAGAUCUCUGCACCCAACUACAAUGAACUGGUCUCAGUCGGCAAGGCAGCAGCAGCAGAGAUGGAGAAGUUUCAUGGAAUGACGUACACUGUUGGA